GUAUCACGUAAUAAUGUUCAUCGUCGGAUUCCGGAUUCGUAUAAUGAAAAUGCGCAUUGUGUAGUUGACACAGCGUGUAAGAAGGUCCGCUGUGUUAUACAAUAUUAUUAUUGUUAUUAUUAUUAUAUUGUAAUCUGUUUUCACUUCAAAAACACACACCAAUGUUAAAAUCAAUACAUUCUUUCGCUUCGCUCAGAAUCUAAUAAGUCUUUAUACAUUAAUUAACGACAAUUGUUUGAUAUAAUAUAUCUUAUCUGGCUUAAAUAGCUAAACAUAACAUAAUCAAUAUUAUACGUAAAUCACUAUAUGAAUAAACAAAUAUUGUUAAAAAAGCGGGUAAGUGGAAUGUCGCUCUGCUGUAAAGUAGGUUACAAGUGGGUCGUCACUGUAUAAUUCAAUGAUAUAUCAUUGUAUACGAAAAACGAUUCUAAGCGGAGAUGGUAUGUAGGUCUGAAUAUUAUAUAUUAUUAUUAUUUAUUAUAGCCUGUAAGUUGAAUUUAUAUUAUAAACUACAGCAAAAUAACUGAAAUCUUUAGUUUUAUUCGUUUCUAUGGCGAUAGACAAAGCGUUAGUAAUUAAAAUCCAGUUUUUCGUAAUUUGUCGGUGGUUUUUUCCGUGACAUUAAAUAACUGUUGAGAAAAUCGAAAAAUGACCUGUUUGAAGUACAAUUUUUAUCCAAUUUGCUAAAAAAUAAGUUACUACAUGUUGAAAUUGAAGCACUUUUUAUGGUAGACAUUUUGUGUACAGGAUAAAUUUUGAUGAAUUUUGAUUUCAUGAAAUGAUAGAUUUCACGACGUGGUUACGACAUAUAUACAGGGUGAUUUUUUAAGUAUGCUCAUCCUAUAUUUUCAUGCUUAAAUUAUAAAUAUAUUCAAAUUCUGAUAUAUGGAAUUUAAAAAAAAAAUAGAAACCCAUAUUUUCGAAUAGUUGAGAUUUUUUGUACCACUUAACUACUUAAAGACAAUGGGGUAUACAGGGGACGACGUGGGGAUCAGAUCCCCCCUCAUAGGCUGAUAAAAAGCAAAAUUUGAAUAAAUAUGGUGAACAUGUUUAAAAAAUCACUCUGUUUAUUACGACAGACUGAUUUACCAGGUAUGCUCACCAACUUCGAUUCUUAAUAAUGCAUUUAUUCAAAUUCUGGUUUUAGGAUUUUUCAGGAGUGGUGGUGGGAUACAAAAUCUAUUAUUCAAACGAGAUCCCCGCGUUUUUUUUAUUAAUUUUUAAGUGGAUAAUUGUUUUGAAAAUUUGUUUGUACCUAUAAUUCAAAAUUUGAACGAGUCUAUCUAUGAUCAAUAGAGGUAUAUUACAAUAUUUAUUUUUUAUUUUAAAACGAGGUCACAGUAAUUACACUGUUAGGAGCGCAUUCUAGCGUGAACAUUAUCGCCGUCGUUUCAGCGUCCUUUUUCGGGAAAGUACACGCAAACACCUAACCUAAAAAUAAAAGGUUCCUUUGCCGUCGUAUACGACCGACACGACGACACUUCUUCAUUUCAUGGUUCUCUCUGCCUAGCACUGGUAGUGCCCGUCUCGACGUGUUGUUAAUCGUCUCAGAUCUUAAUUCUGCCAUUCGGUUCCGAUCAGGGUAGUCGUCGUACAAUCGAUUGUACUACGAUGAUUACCUUGGUCGGGUUUUCGAACGACGAAUAUUAAUUGUUCGUAUUACGCGGAACGCCAGAAUCGAACGUCAAAAGUCAAAACCAACGUUCACACGUGCAUAGAUGGGUCGAAUAAAAUUCAAGAUGGCCGCGAUGCACUCACUCUCAAAAUCUUUAGCGUCUACCUACGACUAUGCGGUUACGGUAAUUUAACCCACCACACAUCCGUUUUCAUGCGCAUAUUGCAGAAAAUGUAAUUGUCCUGUUCCUGUAGCAGUCCUACUCCGAGGACAACCGUUUUUAUGUGCGUACACCAGGCAGUCUAAGUGUCAAUUAGCCACAGCGUUGGCACGUUUGUUUUCAUCCGAUGGUCAAACUAUGCGGCUAUGGGAUAAAAGUUGGUGUGCCAACGCUGCGGCACUUAGAUUGCUUGAUGUGCGCACGUAAAAACGUCUGACCUCGUCAUAAGCUUACAUCAGAGACACUACUAGUUCAGAACAAUUGGAUGAUCUGCAGUGUGUACAUGAAAACAGAUGCGUAUUGAGAUUAAAUUAUCCGACCAAACAAACCACAAUGAAUACAAACGUUGUUUGCUGUAACGAUAAAAAAUAGUAAUUCGAUAUCAUUUAUGUAUUUUUAAAUGUCGUCUUGCCCUAUAUGCUUGAGCUAGACAGUUAUUUACAAUUAUUAACAGAUUACCUCUAUACCUAUAUGAAUAUGUAUUUAUUUUUGUAUAGUUUACUCAUGGAUAUUUUUUUAAAUAUUCUUAACGUUUGAACGGCUUAUUAAUAAAUGCAUAUUGUACUCAAUAAUAA